rnacentral:rRNA from 1 species
UACGUAGGUGGCAAGCGUUGUCCGGAUUUACUGGGCGUAAAGCGUGCGCAGGCGGCUAUGCAAGACAGAUGUGAAAUCCCCGGGCUCAACCUGGGAACUGCAUUUGUGACUGCAUGGCUAGAGUACGGUAGAGGGGGAUGGAAUUCCGCGUGUAGCAGUGAAAUGCGUAGAUAUGCGGAGGAACACCGAUGGCGAAGGCAAUCCCCUGGACCUGUACUGACGCUCAUGCACGAAAGCGUGGGGAGCAAACAGG